UGGUCAGCAGGUGAGACAUGACUGAAUAUGGCAAACAACGUAUCUGCUCAAUGCUCUAUAGAACGUCACUCCAGAUUAGUUCUUCAGAGUUUCAGGUCUUAAGUGCUUCUGGAAAGAUUAGCGACAGAACUACGGCACAUGCAAAGAUGGGAGAUUUGCUUUCUUUAUAAAUUUUCCUGGAAGCUAAGGUCCAGGAAGGGCCAGCCCUUUGAGUGAAUGAAUGAAUGCUAAAGCCAAUGGCAAGAGCUGGACCGUUGUUCAAAUAAACCGGCAACAGCUGGCAACCGGGUGCUUUGUUUAUGAUGUUGAAAGAGGCUUUAUUUA